GCAAAGCAUGAUACAUUUGACAAAGCACAUGCAAACAUGACACAUGCUUUUUGCAUAAAGUAAGACACAAAUGGAGGGAAUUGGCAAAAACAGAUCCUACAUAAUAAAUCAUAAUUAAUACAAACAUAGAGCAAUGGCUCUUUGGUUGUGGGGAAGUAAUUCAUCGUGGCAAUACAACAUUGAGAAAUAAGCUAGUGGUAAAGCUCGUGCAUGUGAAAAAAAUGCACAUGUUAAUGCAGAGCAAGUGCACCCAUUUGAGUGAGAUACUGGCAAUAUUGCUAACUGCCAGAUGAAGUUGUUCAACAAAAUCCACCAAAAUCAAUAUGUAGUUAACUAGUCUUCCACAGAACUUACCUCUAAAGUUGAUGCAGACAACA
rnacentral:misc_RNA from 1 species